GAUUGAAUUUUCUCAACAAAUCUUUCAUUCGUUUUUCAAAGACAGGAAGUGGAUUUCCAGCAGCUAUCUCGACAGUUUCCAUGAUGACAUUGCACAGUAGCUCCAAAGCAUUUCCUGUAAUUCUGAGAAGAUCUCACAGUUAUGAAACUAAGAAGCAUUAUUUAAGAGAGCCUUGUUUACAUAAACCCACACAGCUUUAGCCAGCUGAGGACUGCAUGAUUACACACUGUCUUAAAGCACUAAUCAGGGCACAAUUCUCAUUGGAAGAAAUAAAUCAAUAUACAUGGAUGACAUCUAAAGGAGAAGAGUAUCCCUAUUGUGGUCACAGAGAUCUACUGGAAAUGCAGGGAAUGCAACUCUCUGCACCUUACAAUUUUGCUGAAUGGUAGUAGAACAGCUUUGUCUCUCCCAACAAAAGAAAGGCAGAAUUCAAGCAGCAGAGGAUUUUCUGUGCUCAAGGGAUUUUUGUGGAAGCUGUGGCCUGCAUCAUCCUGCUGAGGAGAACAGUCUCUUGCUCUCAGUGCACAGUUCCCUACUGGAGACAGUGUUAUUUCUUGGCCAUCCCAUCACCUGCCCAUAGAAUGUCUUGCAAAUUUGUGCAGGAACACUCUUUAAGCAUUGGUUAUUCAACUGUUCAAAUGGUGCUGAGACUUCAGACAUAAAAGCCCAGUAAUGAGACAUGUUGGUUUCUUUUGGAAGGCAGGAACUACGACAACAUCGGAUAUGUAAAUGUUAGGAGGUGGAGAAAAGAAGAGAAGAAAGGAGGGGGCAGGUUAAGAUCAGAAGGUUUUACAACAUAUAUUUUGAAAUAUAUUUAUUUGCAAUUAAUAUAUAAAGAAAUCAGUGCUGGGCGGAACUAGCAGUGCUGCUCCUUUAAUUCAGCCAGUGCGUUUGUACAUAUUAAAAACAUUACACAGCAGGGGCUAUAAUUUCACAUGCUGCCAUCUCUAGACCACUACAGCAAAAUACAAAAGAGACAGCAUGUAUGCCAUACCAGUGCAUGUCAUGUAAAAAAAAGGAGAUUGCCUGUAGUAUGUGUGCGUGCAGUAAGAACAGUCCAAACACAGCUCUCCUGAAAUGCUAAUGCUCUCUAAAGCUAAACAAACUUCAGUAAUAUACAACAUGAUUCCAAUUAGUAUCUAGAUCAGAAUAACUUGGCAUUUUCAACUGGCCUUAUACCAGGCAGCUAGUGAGAUGUCAGACAGAAAAGUCCAUUCUCCUUUCUGUGUG
rnacentral:lncRNA from 1 species